AGCCCAGGACAUGCUCAUAAAUAACCAUCAGCACUACAAGAAAGACGUACCAAAUGUGAUUUGGAGGCGCAAGGUGCACAGGAAUGAAGGACAAAGGACAUCAAGGGCCCUGCUGGACUUGGAACCCAGGCCUGCUGGAGCAGAGAUCACAUCACAUUGCCAAGUUCAUUAUUCAGAUUCACAAUUGGGAUCACACAACUAAGGCACCUGCUGUCCUGUGUGGUGGCACACUUAACUUGGAGGCCAGCCUCUUACGUAAGGUGCAGAAAUCUACCAGGAUGACUCGAGGAAGACAAACCAACUUGGAAGCCCCAAAGGCAAUGGUUGCUCCAGCUCAUGCCAGCCUGUAAGAAUCAAUUGGGGCAUCUCUUCACAACACUGUGACAAAAGAUGGCAAGUUGGUAGCUUGAAACUGGCCCUGAUGGGAGUAUGUACAUCACGGAAAUUGGCAAAUGCUAGAAAUCAGGACCCCCCUCCAAAGCUAAUUACAUAUCUACCAUGAGACCACUGCCUAAAGAGCCAGGAUGUCCCUAUGUUGCCCAGGCUGGUCUCGAACUACUGGGCUCACACAAUCCUAUCAUUUUGGCCUCCCGAAGUGCUGGAAUUACAGGUGAGAACCACUGUGCCUGGCCAGGGUCUAUAUCUCAAAGAGUAGUGACAGAUUCUAUAGGCAUCUAAGCCAGCUCUUAUCUUUUAUCACCUUGGGUGUCAGGAAGCACAGAAUGAGAUAUGGUAGGGAAACAGUGAAAUGCAGCCCCAAUGGGUCUCCAGCCAGCAGCCAUGGUACAGAUGUGUUAGCUGGGAGACACCUGUUGCUGCAGCUGGCUGAGUGCAGACUCACUUCUCAAAGUAGAGACCCAUAUUUCUGAUUCCAUACUAUCUUUUCUUUUCUUUUUUUUUGAGACAGGGUCCCACUCUGUCACCCAGGCUAGAGUACAGUGGUGUGAUCUCAGCUCACUGCAACCUCUGCCUCCCAGGUUCAAGCAAUUCUGGUGCUUCAGCCACCCAAGUAGCUGGGAUUACAGGCACAUGCCACCACACCCAACUAAUUUUUGUAUUUUUAGUAGAGAUGGGGUUUCACCAUGUUGGCCAGGCUGGUCUCGAACUCCUGACCUCAGAUGAUCUGCCUGUCUCAGCCUCCCAAAGUGCUGGGAUUACAAACAUGAGCCAUUGCACCUGGCCUCCACACUAUCUUUUCUCAAAGAAGAAAUGUGUAUUUGCAAAUUUUGCAAUUAUAAUAUGAUGUUACCAGGAGGCUGGGAGGUGAGGGGUUAUAGAAUAAAAGUCACUAGGUAAUAUCUAGAACUGGUGAAUCAAAAGACAGCAGUAUAGGCAUAUACGGCACAUGGACAGACAUACAGAUAGGGAUGUCUAUGCCAGAGAAACAGCAGGUGGCACAGACUACCAGUUGACCCCUGUACCUGCUUCCUCUUCUAACUCAGCAAUAGAAUGUUGAGUUGGACACAUGGCUAGUGUGUUUAGCUAACGAAAGCACUGUUCAGCCUCCCUUGCAGCUAGGUGUGGCCAUGGAGGAUGUGCAGAAGCAACUGCUAGGUCACGGCCUCAAAGGGAAGGAGCAUGCCCUUCUCCCCACCCUUCCCCACUUCUUACUUCACUGGAACGCAGAUCAAGUGUAGACCAACUUAGAAACACAGAGAAGGACAGGACUCUAGAAGGGCAGAGCAGGAAGACAAGACAGAGGAUAACUGCCCUAACCACCUCACAAAGUAGACUUUUCACACAUGCUCAAGAGUUUCAUGUAGGUAGAAUAAACUCCUGUUUAAGCCUCUGUCAUAGCCACUGAACUUGUAUCCUAAGAAACAUAUACCUAAAUAAAAGUGUUUGGUUAAGGAG
rnacentral:lncRNA from 10 species